AUUAAAGAAAAAGAAGAGUUUUCAAAUAAUAAAUUGUUUCUAACCGUUUCCCACUACUGCCACGUGUCACCCAUGAGAUGCCAUAUUUUCCCGCUUUCUCAUCCUUGAUAUAACUGAGCUUCACUCCACAACAUUCUUGCUUUUUGCCAUCUCUCUUUGUAUCAGUUUCUCUCUCUAAAACUGUUUCAUAUUCUCCUUCUUCGCUCAAGCUUAUGAUCUUCAGAGAUUGAACUUCAACAAGAUACACGUUUUUCGUAUGAGCUUUGGAGAAUGAACUUCAACAAGGUAUCUCCCUUCACUCACUUCUUUCUCCGUCACCGGAAUAUUCUUAUUACGUUUCUUGUCCAACCAGAAACACGAUCUUUGGAGAAUGAAUUUCAAGAAGGUAUCUCCGUUCACUCACUUCUUUAUCCCUCACCGGAAUAUUCUUUUUAUGUUUCUUGUCUAACCAGAAAGAUGUUUUUUCGUAUGAUCCUCGGAGAUUGAACUUCAAGAAGGUAUCUCUGUCACCGUCUCCGUUUUUUCGUUUCUUUUUCUAUACACAUAUAUAUUUUAAAAUUUCAAAAAGCUGAUUAAAAUUAAAAGCUGAAAAAUAUAUUGAGAAAUAGUGAAGGAAUUAUGUUGAUCAUUUUGACAUGAUGACGUCGUUUGAUCCAUGUAGCUGACUCUACUCAUUGAAAUUAAGCCUUGGUUAUUGUAGACGAUGUGCAGCAGAAAUUUUGUGGCUUCUAACUAUAUCAUGAUGCGUUACUAUUAAUAUCUUCAAUGUUUUAUGGUACUGGCUGGAUUCUAUUUAUCUGAUCAUAACUGAGGAAGCCUAAUUUGUUUUAUGGUACUGGCAGGUUGAAGAUAGGAUUUAUGUUGAAGAUAUUACAGCUGAAUGUAAUAUUACAGAAAGACAGAUCAAGUUCUUGAAGAUGGUUUGUGUUGAAGAUGUUACAGUUAAAUGAUUUGUGCAGAUGAAACCACUAGAAGGCUGAUUUUAAUUUUGUAAUUCUUUCAGUGUCAUCUCCAUUUCAUGUCAUUGCUUGUGUCAAUUGUAUGCCAUACAUGCAGAACUAUUCUUAGUGAAAAGGUCUUUCAAACUUGACUUCCUUGAGUAUCAGGAAGAGCAGCACCGUCACACCUGAUGGAAUGUUCACUGUUCAGAGAAGUUGGACCUUGAUGGGUGUUCACUGUUCAGAGAUUCACAGUGGAUUUGUUCAUCUUCAAGCAUCGUGUGUGUUCAAGCUUUAAUAGUGGUAUCUGCAACUUGGUGAAGGAAGGUAAAGGAAGAACACAAUCACAUCUAAUCCCUAUGGUAGGAAAUAGUAGCUUCAACAUGACUCUGCCAACACUUGAAGGCAAGAAUUACGAAAGAUAACAUAUUCAAAUGAAUGUGCUCUUUGGGUGUUUUGCAAAAUGGCAUUGUUCAUGAUUCAUCAAUGCGUGAAUGAGUCGAAUUUUGAGAAGAUUGCAAGGCAUUGACUACAAAAGAAGCAUGGGACAUCCUUGAGAAAUGCUAUAUAGGGGAUGAGAAAGUGAAAUUGCAGACCUUGAGAAGAUAGUAUGAGUUGUUGAAAUGAGGGAGAGUGAUACAAUUGGUGAUUACUACACAAAGCUCAUAUCAUUGACAAAUUAUAUGAAGGGAUGUGGUGAGGCGACGGAAGAUCAAUUGGUGGUAGAAAAGGUGUUAAGAACACUCACCUCCAAGUUUGCUCAUGUGGUAGAUGCCAUAGAAGAAUGAAAAGAUCUUGAUAUACUCAAGAUUGAGGAUCUUUAAAGUUCCUUGGAAGUACAUGAACAUAGAAUCAAAGUAAAGAUUCAAGGUAGAGGAUCUGAACAAGCUCUUCAAGUUGAGUCUUGCAUAUCAAGGAAUUUUGGCUAAAGAAAUAUUCAAAGAAAGGCAUGCAUUUGAUUGAAGUGGAUGAUGAAGAGGAUAGUGAAGCAAUAUUGUGGUAAUGCUUGGCGUCUACUAUGGUGGCGUUGGGCGUUUGUUGUGGCGGUGUUGGGCGUCUGUGGCAACAUUUGGUGUAUGUCGUGGUGUUGGGCGUCUACGGCGGUGCUGGGAGUCUGUGGUGGUGUUGUGAGUGUGAGGCGACACUAGGUGUGUGAGGUGACGCUGGGCGUGUGAGGUGACGCUGGGCGUGUGAUGCAGCAUUGGGCGUCUACCAUGGUGUUGCUGAGCGUCUCUAGCAGCGUUGGGUGUUAGGCGGCACUGAGCGUGUAAACGGCUUUAAGAGUGUGAGGCGGUAGUGGGCGUUUGUCGUGGCGAUGAUGGACGUCUGCCAUGGCGGGAUUGGUGUUUGUGGCAGCUGUGGGCGUCUAGUGCAACUUUGGUCGUCUGUGGCAGAGCUGGGUGUUUGUGGUGGCGUUAGGCGUGUGAGGCGGCAUAAAGCGUGCGAGGUGACAAUGGGAGUGUGGCGGCGUUGGGUGUAAGGCUGCAUUGGGCGUGUAAGGCUGUGAUGGGUGUGAGGUGGCGAUGGGUGUGAGGCGAUGCUGGGCGUGUAAGGCGAUGAUGGGCGUGUAAGGUGACGCUGGGGUUCUAUGGUGGUGACAGUGGGUGUGUGAAGCGUUAGGCAUGUGAAGCGGCGAUGGGUGUAUGAGGCGACGCUGGGCGUCUAUGGUGGUGCUGAGCGUUUGUGGCGGUUUUGGGCGUCUGCCGUGGCAGUGAUGGGCAUCUGUCGUGGCAGUGAUGAGCGUCUAUUGAAGUGGCGAUGAGCGUCUGUCGUGACGACGUUGGGCGCCUAGGGGCGUUUGGGGCGUCGUUGGACGUGUGCGGCAGAGCUGGGCAUGUGAGGUAGCAAAGGGCAUUUGUGUCAGCGCCAAGCGUUUGAGGCCGUGGUGGGCGUGUGAGGCGACGUUGAGGGUCUGGGGCGACGCCGGGCGUCUGUGGCACUGCUAGGCGUUUGUGCUGGUGAAGUGCGGCUGUCGUGUCGACGAUGGGUGCUGUCGUCUGGGAGUCUGUGGCGGUGGUGGGCAUUUGUGGCGGAGGUGGGCGUGUAGUAAUGGUGGGCGUUUGUGGCAGGUGUGGACGUUUGUGGCAGCGGUGGGCGUGUGACGACGGUGGGCAUUUGGUACGACCUUGGUCGUGUCGCGGUUGGGCGUGUGAGGCGACAUAGGGCAUGUGAGGCGGCGGUGGGCGUGCGAGGCGGUAGUGGGUGUGGGAGGCGGCGAUGGGCGUGCG
rnacentral:lncRNA from 1 species